UACAGAGAUUGCAAGCGUUAUUCGGAUUCAUUGGGCGUAAAGCGUCUGUAGGUGGCUUUUUAAGUCUGCCGUCAAAUCCCAGGGCUUAACCCUGGACAGGCGGUGGAAACUACCAAGCUGGAGUACGGUAGGGGCAGAGGGAAUUUCCGGUGGAGCGGUGAAAUGCGUAGAGAUCGGAAAGAACACCAACGGCGAUAGCACUCUGCUGGGCCGACACUGACACUGAGAGACGAAAGCUAGGGGAGCGAAUGGG
rnacentral:rRNA from 1 species